AUAUGAGACACUUUAGUACCCCCAAGUCCUUGCAAGUUUUUCAUAGUCAGUUCCAAACUUCUCAAUUUUCUAGCUAUUUCCUCUUGUUAUUCUAUCAUAACAGGCUUCUCAGUGUUAGGAGGAAAUUCAGGCGGUUGAGGGCAAUCGUAAGGACCAGUCGACUUAAAUGUAGGCUCGAGAGCAUAAUGCUGAUCACUAAAAAUAUUCAAUGCAGGCUCUCUUGUAGAGUAGGGAGGCACAACUUGUGGAUGAACAUCAAAAGUAGGAGCUUCAGG
rnacentral:lncRNA from 1 species